rnacentral:rRNA from 1 species
AUUGAACGCUGGCGGCAGGCCUAACACAUGCAAGUCGAACGAGUGGCGGACGGGUGAGUAAUAUCUGGGAAACUGCCUGAUGGAGGGGGAUAACUACUGGAAACGGUAGCUAAUACCGCAUACCAUCAGAUGUGCCCAGAUGGGAUGGGCUAGUUGGUGGGGUAAAGGCUCACCAAGGCGACGAUCCCUAGCUGGGCUGAGAGGAUGACCAGCAACACUGGAACUGCGACACGGUCCAGACUCCGACGGGAGGAAGCAGUGGGGAAUAUUGCACAAUGGGCGCAAGCCUGAUGCAGCCAUGCAGCGGGUAUGAAGAAGGCCUUAGGGUUGUAAAGUACUUUCAGCGGGGAGGCGUUACCCGCAGAAGAAGCACCGGCUAACUCCGUGCCAGCCGCCGCGGUAAUAC